rnacentral:rRNA from 1 species
UACGGGGGGAGCAAACGUUGUUCGGAAUCACUGGGCUUAAAGGGCGCGUAGGCGGGUGCUCAAGUCCGGGGUGAAAUCCUCCAGCUCAACUGGAGAACUGCCUCGGAUACUGGGUGCCUCGAGGGUGGUAGGGGUAUGCGGAACUAUCGGUGGAGCGGUGAAAUGCGUUGAUAUCGAUAGGAACUCCGGUGGCGAAGGCGGCAUACUGGACCACUUCUGACGCUGAGGCGCGAAAGCUAGGGGAGCAAACAGG